GCGCCCGUAGCUCAAUGGACAGAGUGUGGGUUUGCGGAACCCAAGAUCGAGGUCCGAUUCCUCGCGGGCGCG
rfam:Candidatus Azambacteria bacterium RIFCSPLOWO2_02_FTLL_44_14 rifcsplowo2_02_scaffold_1430, whole genome shotgun sequence.